GAUGAACGCUGGCGGCGUGCCUAAUACAUGCAAGUCGAGCGAACGGACGAGGAGCUUGCUUCUCUGAUGUUAGCGGCGGACGGGUGAGUAACACGUGGAUAACCUACCUAUAAGACUGGGAUAACUUCGGGAAACCGGAGCUAAUACCGGAUAAUAUUUUGAACCGCAUGAUUCAAAAGUGAAAGACGGUCUUGCUGUCACUUAUAGAUGGAUCCGCGCUGCAUUAGCUAGUUGGUAAGGUAACGGCUUACCAAGGCAACGAUGCAUAGCCGACCUGAGAGGGUGAUCGGCCACACUGGAACUGAGACACGGUCCAGACUCCUACGGGAGGCAGCAGUAGGGAAUCUUCCGCAAUGGGCGAAAGCCUGACGGAGCAACGCCGCGUGAGUGAUGAAGGUCUUCGGAUCGUAAAACUCUGUUAUUAGGGAAGAACAUAUGUGUAAGUAACUGUGCACAUCUUGACGGUACCUAAUCAGAAAGCCACGGCUAACUACGUG
rnacentral:rRNA from 1 species